UCAUUGUUACUGUUAUGUAUGUUCUCUGA
rnacentral:piRNA from 1 species